UACGGAGGAUCCGAGCGUUAUCCGGAUUUAUUGGGUUUAAAGGGUGCGUAGGCGGAAUAAUAAGUCAGUUGUGAAAGUUUGCGGCUCAACCGUAAAAUUGCAGUUGAUACUGUUAUUCUUGAGUGUACAUAAGGUAGGCGGAAUUCGUGGUGUAGCGGUGAAAUGCUUAGAUAUCACGAAGAACUCCAAUUGCGAAGGCAGCUUACCGGGGUACAACUGACGCUGAGGCACGAAAGUGUGGGUAUCAAACAGG
rnacentral:rRNA from 2 species